rnacentral:rRNA from 1 species
GACGAACGCUGGCGGCGUGCUUAACACAUGCAAGUCGAACGCUGAAGACCUGGCUUUUGUUGGGUUGGAUGAGUGGCGAACGGGUGAGUAACACGUGAGUAACCUGCCCUCUUCUUUGGGAUAACGCCCGGAAACGGGUGCUAAUACUGGAUAUUCACUGGCCUUCGCAUGGGGGUUGGUGGAAAGGUUUGUUCUGGUGGGGGAUGGGCUCGCGGCCUAUCAGCUUGUUGGUGGGGUGAUGGCCUACCAAGGCUUUGACGGGUAGCCGGCCUGAGAGGGUGACCGGUCACGUUGGGACUGAGAUACGGCCCAGACUCCUACGGGAGGCAGCAGUGGGGAAUAUUGCACAAUGGGCGAAAGCCUGAUGCAGCGACGCCGCGUGAGGGAUGGAGGCCUUCGGGUUGUAAACCUCUUUCGCUCAUGGUCAAGCCGCAACUGUGGGUUGUGGUGAGGGUAGUGGGUAAAGAAGCGCCGGCUAACUACGUG